rnacentral:lncRNA from 1 species
GAUUUUAUUCUAAUCUUGCAAGAUUUUUUGGAGAACCCGUUUCUUUCUUGAAGCCUAUAAAUUGGAGACUCUCCUCUUCAUUUUAUACACACCAAAAAUUGAGAGAAAAACCAAGAAAGAACUCUCCCCGCUUUGUGCAAAACCUGCUCUGCCUUUGCGAAUUUGUCUUUGUGACUAAAGAUGGCCUUCAAAUUGGAGAUACCAUUGUGGUGUGUAUCAAUUUUUUUUUUUUUUUUGUCUUGUUUUUCUUUUCUUUAAUCUCUACAAAUCCUAAACUAAUUGGUUGUUUGAUUCGAUUUUUUAGGUGGAUUUGUUGCACACCAUUUAUUUUUAUUUUUAUUUUUAUCGUAUUGAGAGUCUCGUUGAUCAUUAAUUUCUUUAGCUUCCACUACCUCAUUGUCGGUUACUGGAAGUUUUUUUCCUUUCUUUUUAUUGGGUUUUUAGCACAUUUGACUGAAUUCUACUUGUAAUGUUUUUUCUUAAACACCACAUUGUAUAUAAAAUUGAUACUUUCUUCUAAGACACUGCUAACUGACAUAAAUGAGACCUGAUUCAAUUGAUUUCUGGUUCCAGGGAAGCACUUGGAGAAUCAUGUUAUUGGUGGUGUUGUCUAUGCGGAAUAAUUAGAAGGAUUUGGUGGUAGCCUGCGUGUCCAUCGGUGGAACCUUAAAUUGCAUGAUGAAAUGAAAGUGCAAUGUGCAUAUUCAUAUUUCAGUGACAUAACAGUUUUGAACAACAGUCACUAUGUUUUGGUGGAUCAUCUUCAAAAUAAAUUUUUACAAGUUUUAUGUUGUCUUUAGGAACAGAUUAUUGUCCGGUUUAUAUUGAUCAUAUGUUGGCUAUUUAGAGUUGAUGACAUCUUUUACUCUUUAAGUAGCACCAUUUCUUAAUUAUUUUUGUAGAAUUGGUUUCCUAGUGGUGUUUAAAAUUGUGGUGAUACGACCUUUAUGGCUUUAAGGAAGAGUUAUUUUUCAUUCUUGUUACUUUUUGAUCCCUUCAUCGCAGGCGGCAGGCCC